rnacentral:rRNA from 1 species
UGGGGAAUAUUGCGCAAUGGAGGGAACUCUGACGCAGCAACGCCGCGUGAAGGAUGAAGGUUUUCGGAUUGUAAACUUCUUUGAUCGGGGACGAAAAUGACGGUACCCGAGGAACAAGCCACGGCUAACUACGUGCCAGCAGCCGCGGUAAUACGUAGGUGGCAAGCGUUGUCCGGAAUUACUGGGUGUAAAGGGCGCGUAGGCGGGAGAGCAAGUCAGAUGUGAAAUCCCAGGGCUUAACUCUGGAGCUGCAUCUGAAACUGUUUUUCUUGAGUACUGGAGAGGAAAGUGGAAUUCCUAGUGUAGCGGUGAAAUGCGUAGAGAUUAGGAGGAACACCAGUGGCGAAGGCGGCUUUCUGGACAGUAACUGACGCUGAGGCGCGAAAGCGUGGGGAGCAAACAGG